CCUACGGGUGGCAGCAGUGGGGAAUAUUGCACAAUGGGGGAAACCCUGAUGCAGCGACGCCGCGUGAGAGAUGAAGGAUUUCGGCAUGUAAAGCUCUAUCAGCAGGGACGAAAAUGACGGUACCUGACUAAGAAGCCCCGGCUAACUACGUGCCAGCAGCCGCGGUAAUACGUAGGGGGCAAGCGUUAUCCGGAUUUACUGGGUGUAAAGGGUGCGUAGACGGUCCUGCAAGCCAGAUGUGAAAGCCCGGGGCUCAACCCCGGGACUGCAUUUGGAACUGUAAGGCUAGAGUGUCGGAGAGGCAGGCGGAAUUCCUAGUGUAGCGGUGAAAUGCGUAGAUAUUAGGAGGAACACCAGUGGCGAAGGCGGCCUGCUGGACGGUGACUGACGUUGAGGCUCGAAAGCGUGGGGAGCGAACAGGAUUAGAUACCCUGGUAGUC
rnacentral:rRNA from 1 species